UAAAAAAUAGGAAAGGAUGGCGUGAGAUUGGGUGACAGGUUAACUAGCACCAUAUAAACGUGCGGUUGUUGUAGUACGUAUAAUCACUGCCACCAUUUCCAGAAAAUAAUGUCUCAUAAUACACGUCAUCCCUUCGAACUGUCGUGUCAUGAUUAUAGCCGUUGAUUUGGCUGGCCCUAAAUGUAGUAGAUAUGAUUGCAAAUUGAAUUGCUUUGCGACCAUAAAUCAUACCAAACAAAAUCACAAAUAGCCGUUUUCAGAGUUUUCCCAAUUUCGGAUUUUAUUUUAAUUUAAAUAAAUUUAAAGGUUUUUUUUUUUUGUUGAAGUGGUUUCUUUAGAAGGGAAAUUUUAAGGUAGCUGUUACAGUUUUCUUUCAUAAUAAUAGGUGGCUAUAGUUAUAAUUUUGUUUGAAAAUAUUUUAUAAAAAAAAUUGCAAUAUAAUUUAUUAAUUGAUAAAUAUGAAUUCUAAUUAAAGUGAAUCGAUUUAGCGAUAGUAAAAAUAUUAAUUAAGGGUUUUUAUAUAAUUAAAUAAUUUAUUACCUAAUAAAAGAGAGUUUAUCUUAGGAUACACUCACACGUGGAACAUCAGAACCGUUGAUCCAUUCAUCAAUCUUAUUAAAAAAAAACAGUAUGGGACUCAGCUCUGUUCGUGAAAACAUGGAAUUUAAAUAUUUCUUAUUUGAAAACGUAGUAAUAAAAAUAAUACUUAGUCCCUGCCCGCCUUCACUGCAAGCGGCGUUCCGGCAGGGGGGGUCUUUGGAAGAAGAAAACAGUGUGUGGUAGUGAAUCGUACCUCGUGGUCGUCUUCAGCAUGUUUGAAGUCCGCCAUUUUAAAACCUGUUAAAACAAGAGAAACGCCAUUGAUUCUUAACUUAUUAAUAACGAUGAAGAAUAUUAUAUUCAUAUCAUGAGGAUGGAUUUAUGGCAUUACCUUACACAAGGGAAGGGAAAGAAGAAGAGCUAGAAAGGGAUGUGAGACAGGAACAAUAAUGAUAGGUCGUAAGAAGCAGGCAACUAUAUAUAAUGCAUUAUUGGUGGUGUUGCUUGUUGAAUUAAUGGUUUUUAGAAAACGAGUUAGAUUUUUUUUAAAGUGGUAUUCUUUUUUGGUGAAAUCAACGAUUUUACGUAAAAUAUUUUUUAUUAUUUGACAAACUUUCC
rnacentral:lncRNA from 1 species